rnacentral:rRNA from 1 species
GACGAACGCUGGCGGCGUGCUUAACACAUGCAAGUCGAACGGAAAGGCCCUGCUUUUGUGGGGUGCUCGAGUGGCGAACGGGUGAGUAACACGUGAGUAACCUGCCCUUGACUUUGGGAUAACUUCAGGAAACUGGGGCUAAUACCGGAUAGGAGCUCCUGCUGCAUGGUGGGGGUUGGAAAGUUUCGGCGGUUGGGGAUGGACUCGCGGCUUAUCAGCUUGUUGGUGGGGUAGUGGCUUACCAAGGCUUUGACGGGUAGCCGGCCUGAGAGGGUGACCGGCCACAUUGGGACUGAGAUACGGCCCAGACUCCUACGGGAGGCAGCAGUGGGGAAUAUUGCACAAUGGGCGGAAGCCUGAUGCAGCAACGCCGCGUGCGGGAUGACGGCCUUCGGGUUGUAAACCGCUUUCGCCUGUGACGAAGCGUGAGUGACGGUAAUGGGUAAAGAAGCACCGGCUAACUACGUGCCAGCAGCCGCGGUGAUACGUAGGGUGCGAGCGUUGUCCGGAUUUAUUGGGCGUAAAGGGCUCGUAGGUGGUUGAUCGCGUCGGAAGUGUAAUCUUGGGGCUUAACCCUGAGCGUGCUUUCGAUACGGGUUGACUUGAGGAAGGUAGGGGAGAAUGGAAUUCCUGGUGGAGCGGUGGAAUGCGCAGAUAUCAGGAGGAACACCAGUGGCGAAGGCGGUUCUCUGGGCCUUUCCUGACGCUGAGGAGCGAAAGCGUGGGGAGCGAACAGGCUUAGAUACCCUGGUAGUCCACGCUGUAAACGGUGGGUACUAGGUGUGGGGUCCAUUCCACGGGUUCCGUGCCGUAGCUAACGCUUUAAGUACCCCGCCUGGGGAGUACGGCCGCAAGGCUAAAACUCAAAGGAAUUGACGGGGCCCCGCACAAGCGGCGGAGCAUGCGGAUUAAUUCGAUGCAACGCGUAGAACCUUACCUGGGUUUGACAUGGAUCGGGAGCGCUCAGAGAUGGGUGUGCCUCUUUUGGGGUCGGUUCACAGGUGGUGCAUGGCUGUCGUCAGCUCGUGUCGUGAGAUGUUGGGUUAAGUCCCGCAACGAGCGCAACCCUUGUUCACUGUUGCCAGCACGUUAUGGUGGGGACUCAGUGGAGACCGCCGGGGUCAACUCGGAGGAAGGUGGGGAUGUCGUCAAGUCAUCAUGCCCCUUAUGUCCAGGGCUUCACGCAUGCUACAAUGGCUGGUACAGAGAGUGGCGAGCCUGUGAGGGUGAGCGAAUCUCGGAAAGCCGGUCUCAGUUCGGAUUGGGGUCUGCAACUCGACCUCAUGAAGUCGGAGUCGCUAGUAAUCGCAGAUCAGCAACGCUGCGGUGAAUACGUUCCCGGGGCU